CUGUAAUUGGAAUGAGUACACUUUAAAUCCUUUAACAAGGACCUAUUGGAGGGCAAGUCUGGUGCCAGCAGCCGCGGUAACUCCAGCUCCAAUAGCGUAUAUUAAAGUUGUUGCGGUUAAAACGUUCGUAGUUGAACUUGUGCUUCAUACGGGUAGUACAACUAUAAUUGUAGUUUGUACUAUACCUUAUGUAUGUAAGCGUAUUACCGGUGGAGUUCUUAUUAUGUACAAGUACUUGUACUUGAGCAUAUUCCUCCUAUUUAAACCUGCUUCAGUGCUCUUCAUCGAGUGUUGUUGUGGGCCGGUACAAUUACUUUGAACAAAUUAGAGUGCUUAAAGCAGGCUCCAGAUGCCUGAAUAUUUUGUGCAUGGAAUAAUGAAAUAAGACCUCUGUUCUACUUUCAUUGGUUUUUAGAUCAAGAGGUAAUGAUUAAUAGAAGCAGUUUGGGGGCAUUAGUAUUACGACGCGAGAGGUGAAAUUCUUGGACCGUCGUAAGACUAACUUAAGCGAAAGCAUUUGCCAAAGAUGUUUUCAUUAAUCAAGAACGAAAGUUAGAGGUUCGAAGGCGAUCAGAUACCGCCCUAGUUCUAACCAUAAACGAUGCCAGCUAGCAAUUGGGUGUAGCUACUAUCAUGGCUCUCUCAGUCGCUUCCCGGGAAACCAAAGCUUUUGGGCUCCGGGGGAAGUAUGGUUGCAAAGCUGAAACUUAAAGGAAUUGACGGAAGGGCACCACCAGGASUGGAGCCUGCGGCUUAAUUUGACUCAACC
rnacentral:rRNA from 1 species